rnacentral:rRNA from 1 species
GACGAACGCUGGCGGCGUGCCUAAUACAUGCAAGUAGAACGCAGUUGCGAACGGGUGAGUAACGCGUAGGUAACUGCCUGGUAGCGGGGGAUAACUAUUGGAAACGAUAGCUAAUACCGCCUACUAACAGGUGGACCUGCGUUGUAUUAGCGAGUUGGGGGGGUAACGGCUUACCAAGGUCACGAUACAUAGCCGACCUGGGAGGGUGGUCGGCCACACUGGGACCGGGACACGGCCCAGACGCCUACGGGAGGGAGCAGUAGGGAAUCUUCGGAAAUGGACGGAAGUCUGACCGAGCAACGCCGCGUGAUUGAAGAAGGUUUUCGGAUCGUAAAGCUCUGUUGUAAGAGAAGCGGUAUCUUACCAGAAAGGGACGGCUAACUACGUGCCAGCAGCCGCGGUAAUUC